GAAGAACAAAAAUGACCGGGAAAAUCUGACAGGACUGAGAAGAUGACAACAGCACAGCGGGGUUUUAGAAGCCCAUCAGAGUGAUUUUCUGAGUUCUUUCACAUAUGCUGUAUGGUCAGCGAAUGGAUGGAUUAUCCAGUCGCGGUACAUAAUAAAAGACUUGACUGAGUUAGAAGAAGCUGAGCGACUCUUCAGAGUGAAGAUGUUAUGAUGCAGUUAUGUCAAAGCACUCGUUUCGGCUGGCAAGAUUGGAACAGAACCUGAAUGGGAAGAUGGCAGAGCUAAGACUGGCAAUUUCCAGGAAAAAUGUUUACUAAAAAUGAGUGUGUUUUUCCCCA